AGAAAGCGCCGACGCUGGCGGCGUGCCUAAUACAUGCAGUCGAGCGGAAGAUGGGAGCUUGCUCCCUGAUGUUAGCGGCGGACGGGUGAGUAACACGUGGGUAACCUGCCUGUAAGACUGGGAUAACUCCGGGAAACCGGGGCUAAUACCGGAUGGUUGUUUGAACCGCAUGGUUCAAACAUAAAAGGUGGCUUCGGCUACCACUUACAGAUGGACCCGCGGCGCAUUAGCUAGUUGGUGAGGUAACGGCUCACCAAGGCAACGAUGCGUAGCCGACCUGAGAGGGUGAUCGGCCACACUGGGACUGAGACACGGCCCAGACUCCUACGGGAGGCAGCAGUAGGGAAUCUUCCGCAAUGGACGAAAGUCUGACGGAGCAACGCCGCGUGAGUGAUGAAGGUUUUCGGAUCGUAAAGCUCUGUUGUUAGGGAAGAACAAGUACCGUUCGAAUAGGGCGGUACCUUGACGGUACCUAACCAGAAAGCCACGGCUAACUACGUGCCAGCAGCCCGUUAAAUA
rnacentral:rRNA from 1 species